UACGUAGGGGGCUAGCGUUGUCCGGAAUCAUUGGGCGUAAAGAGCGUGUAGGCGGCCCGGUAAGUCCGCCGUGAAAGUCCAGGGCUCAACCCUGGAAUGCCGGUGGAUACUGUCGGGCUAGAGUCCGGAAGGGGCGAGUGGAAUUCCUGGUGUAGCGGUGAAAUGCGCAGAUAUCAGGAGGAACACCGAUGGCGAAGGCAGCUCGCUGGGACGGUACUGACGCUGAGACGCGAAAGCGUGGGGAGCAAACAGG
rnacentral:rRNA from 1 species